rnacentral:rRNA from 1 species
CAGCCGCCACGGUAAUACGUAGGUGGCAAGCGUUGUCCGGAAUUAUUGGGCGUAAAGGGCUCGCAGGCGGUUUCUUAAGUCUGAUGUGAAAGCCCCCGGCUCAACCGGGGAGGGUCAUUGGAAACUGGGAAACUUGAGUGCAGAAGAGGAGAGUGGAAUUCCACGUGUAGCGGUGAAAUGCGUAGAGAUGUGGAGGAACACCAGUGGCGAAGGCGACUCUCUGGUCUGUAACUGACGCUGAGGAGCGAAAGCGUGGGGAGCGAACAGGAUUAGAUACCCCAGUAGUCCAUGUCUCUUAUAC